AGCAAAGGUCUCACCAGCAUCAGCAUGGCUGUCUGGGGCUGCAGCUGCCCUCCCAGUUUGCCAGGCUGCUGAUAUCCAUGAUCACACACUGCUGGGUCCUGCUGGGGACAAUCAGAUUUCAGUGGGUGCUGCUGGACUUACCUGCCCAACACAUAAGGUGUCAGAAUUCACCACUAGCUGCAAAGAGGGAUGAACCAGAGCUCCAGCAAGCAAAACCCAUCUUCACACAACACAGGCCUCAGCGUCUUGCAGGUCCUGUGGGCCCCACAGCAGAGCAGAUGGGUCCCAGCAGGGCAUCCGUGAAACAUAGGUGCUCAUCCUGCACGAUCUGAGCCACAGCUGUGUCCUGCAUGCUUGGCCUUUCCCUGCCCAACCAAAGUUAGUGGAAUGCCUGUGACUCUGCAUGCCGAAAUCUGCGCCCUCUGGCCGGUGUCCCUUGCCACUGUCCUCAAGGGUGGACUUGGAGGGGAAAGAAGAGCCUUUUUACAGGGAGUGUGAAUGCCACAGAUCUAAGCCACUGUGAGAGGGCAUUACACCUCCCCAAACUGCUGAAUGACUGUUGAAACGGGGCAUUUGGUAGGCAAAACAGGGGAACUUAUUUCCAUGCCAGCAGCCCAAUGGCUAUUCAAAGAUACCACCUGGAAGAUUUUCAUGAGCUGCUGAAAUGCAGAGGCUUUAGAAGAGCAAGAGCCAUGCAAACCUCACAGCACCUGCAAAAAAAGCACAGCAAGUGGUUUUCUUCCUACAGUAGCGAGCCUGACUCUACUUUGCAUGUUCUCACAAAAAGUCAGCUCCUCCUCUUACAGAAUCUGGCAGAUCUGCUCAGCUCCCAGUGAUUUCUUGGAGGUACAGAGGCAAGAACGGGCAGCUCAUUCUCUUGCAAACCGGCUCUAAAUAUUGCUUCAGCUGGAAGACAACAUUUGGGAAAACACAACUGAUGAUAAGCAGCCAGGCUACUGAUGCAGCAUGAAACCUGGCUCCCACCGGAGUGGGCAUGUAAACAUCUCCUGAUGCAAAUACGCAGAGAUCACUUCCCAUUCACUGCUACUUUCCAGCCUCUCUCCUGCCGCAUGGCCACAACCUGUGUGGCAGCUGUACAUCAGUUCUCAUUGGAGAUUUCCCUUUGGUCCCCGAACCAAGCCCCCAGUACGCAGUAUUUCCACAUAUCCAUGCAGCCA
ensembl:lncRNA